GCCCCGAGAUUCUGCACAGAGACCCAGGGCUGCCCUCAGCAGAGAAGGGAGGCCGCCUGUGGCUCACCCCUGCCCCUCACCUCCACGGAAAUACCCCAGACCUGUUUUCUUUGGAAAUUAUAAUCAACCAGAAAAAGGGUCUGGAGGUGGGAAGUCUUGUCUGCCAGGGCUGUUCUGCUCCACAAAGUCUCUCAGAGAACCAGGCACUUCCCACCUUGCUAUAGAGACACAGCGAGAGAAGGAACAUAGUAGGGGGAGUGGGAGAGGGAGAAGCAGGCCUCCCGCUGAGCAGGGAGCCCGAUGUGGGGCUCGAUCCCAGGACCCUGGGAUCAUGGCCUGGGCCGAAGGCAGACGCUUAACCGACUGAGCCACCUAGGCGUUCCUAAAGGAAGAAGAUAUUGACAAGAAGAGCCCAUUUCCCUCUUAAUUCAGUCUCCCCUUCUUUGCUCUUGCUUUAUUUUUAAAAUUAACAUAGAAUAAAAAUGACUUUUAUCUGCUUUUGGU